rnacentral:rRNA from 1 species
ACAUGAAUACAACAUAGUGUUAAUGCACUAAAUCCCAUUAGAACUCGACAGUUAAGCACACUCAGGCUAGAGUAGUAUUGGGAUGGGUGAUCGUCUCGGAAGUAAUAGUGUUUUAUAUG